rnacentral:rRNA from 1 species
GAAAGACCCCGUGAACCUUUACUAUAGCUUGACACUGAACAUUGAGCCUUGAUGUGUAGGAUAGGUGGGAGGCUUUGAAGCGUGGACGCCAGUCUGCGUGGAGCCAACCUUGAAAUACCACCCUUUAAUGUUUGAUGUUCUAACGUUGGCCCCUAAUCGGGGUUGCGGACAGUGUCUGGUGGGUAGUUUGACUGGGGCGGUCUCCUCCCAAAGCGUAACGGAGGAGCACGAAGGUUAGCUAAUCCUGGUCGGACAUCAGGAGGUUAGUGCAAUGGCAUAAGCUAGCUUGACUGCGAGCGUGACGGCGCGAG